rnacentral:rRNA from 1 species
UACGGAGGUGGCAAGCGUUGUUCGGAAUUAUUGGGCGUAAAGGGCGCGUAGGCGGCCCGUCAAGUCCGGUGUGAAAGCCCCCGGCUCAACCGGGGAACUGCACGGGAAACUAGCAGGCUUGAGUUCGGGAGAGGGAAGCGGAAUUUCGGGUGUAGCGGUGAAAUGCGCAGAUAUCCGAAGGAACACCGGUGGCGAAGGCGGCUUCCUGGACCGACACUGACGCUGAGGCGCGAAAGCUAGGGGAGCAAACGGG